GCCUACGGGGCGCAGCAGUGGGGAAUAUUGCACAAUGGGGGAAACCCUGAUGCAGCAACGCCGCGUGAGUGAAGAAGUCAUUCGUGAUGUAAAGCUCUAUCAGCAGGGAAGAAAAUGACGGUACCUGACUAAGAAGCCCCGGCUAACUACGUGCCAGCAGCCGCGGUAAUACGUAGGGGGCAAGCGUUAUCCGGAUUUACUGGGUGUAAAGGGAGCGUAGACGGACUUGCAAGUCUGAUGUGAAAAUCCGGGGCCCAACCCCGGAACUGCAUUGGAAACUGUAUAUCUAGAGUGUCGGAGAGGCA
rnacentral:rRNA from 1 species